rnacentral:rRNA from 1 species
UGGUGGAGCGAUUUGUCUGGUCAAUUACGAUAACGAACGAGACUCUAGCCUACUAAAUAGUUCGGGGACCCCCACAAAGGGGCCCCGCUUCAACUUCUUAGAGGGACAGGUGGCGUUUAGCCACACGAGAUUGAGCAAUAACA